AUUGAACGCUGGCGGCAGGCCUAACACAUGCAAGUCGAGCGGAGCGGCGGACGCGUGAGUAAUGCCUAGGAAUCUGCCUGGUAGUGGUGGAUAACGUCCGGAAACGGGCGCUAAUACCGCAUACUAUCAGAUGAGGCUAGGUCCGAUUAGCUAGUUGGAGGGGUAAAGGCCUACCGAGGCGACGACCCGUAACUGGUCUGAGAGGAUGAUCAGUCACACUGGAACUGAGACACGUGCCAGAUUCCUACGGGAGGCAGCAGUGGGGAAUAUUGGACAAUGGGCGGAAGCCUGAUGCAGCCAUGCCGCGGGUGUGAAGAAGGUCUUCGGAUUGUAAAGCACUUUAAGUUGGGAGGCGUUACCAGCAGAAGAAGCACCGGCUAACUUCGUGCCAGCAGCCGCGGUAAUUC
rnacentral:rRNA from 1 species